rnacentral:tRNA from 1 species
CCCUGGGUGGUGGAAAUAGUUAACACAUUUGGCUGUUAACUGAAAGGUUGGUGGUUCGAGUCCACCCAGAGGCA